rnacentral:rRNA from 1 species
GACGAACGCUGGCGGCGUGCUUAACACAUGCAAGUCGAACGGAAAGGCCCUGCUUUUGUGGGGUGCUCGAGUGGCGAACGGGUGAGUAACACGUGAGUAACCUGCCCUUGACUUUGGGAUAACUUCAGGAAACUGGGGCUAAUACCGGAUAGGAGCUCCUGAUGCAUGGUGGGGGUUGGAAAGUUUCGGCGGUUGGGGAUGGACUCGCGGCUUAUCAGCUUGUUGGUGGGGUAGUGGCUUACCAAGGCUUUGACGGGUAGCCGGCCUGAGAGGGUGACCGGCCACAUUGGGACUGAGAUACGGCGCAGACUCCUACGGGAGGCAGCAGUGGAGAAUAUUACGCAAUGGGCGGAAGCCUGAGGCAGCAACGCCGCGUGCGGGAUGACGGCCUUCGGGUUGUAAACCGCUUUCGCCUGUGACGAGGCGUGAGUGACGGUAAUGGGUAAAGAAGCACCGGCUAACUACGUG